rnacentral:rRNA from 1 species
GAGGGGAGAUCCCCCACACUUGACUGAGACACGGACCAACUCCUACGGGAGGCAGCAGUGAGGAAUAUUGGUCAAUGGGCGCAAGCCUGAACCAGCCAUGCCGCGUGCAGGAUGACGGUCCUAUGGAUUGUAAACUGCUUUUGACGGGAAGAAACCCUCCUACGUGUAGGAGCUUGACGGUACCGUAAGAAUAAGGAUCGGCUAACUCCGUGCCAGCAGCCGCGGUAAUACGGAGGAUCCAAGCGUUAUCCGGAAUCAUUGGGUUUAAAGGGUCUGUAGGCGGUCUUGUAAGUCAGUGGUGAAAGCCCAUCGCUCAACGGUGGAACGGCCAUUGAUACUGCUGGACUUGAAUUAUUGGAAGCAACUAGAAUAUGUAGUGUACGGUGAAUGCUUAGAGAUUACAUGGAAUACCAAUUGCGAAGGCGGUUGCUACCAAUGGAUUGACCUGAUGGACAAAGCGUGGUAGCGACAGAUUAGAUACCCCUGGUAGUCCACGCCGUAACGAUGGAAUACUAGCUGUUGGGCGCAAG